UAACAUACCUUUACCAGCAACAGACUUUGCUUCAGUGACCUGUCUUUCAAAUGACUACCAAGGAAGACAUCAGAUUUCCAAAGAGGAGCUCGAACAUGUUCUUUCUCUGAAAACCACCUUUACAGAAGCGGCAUCUAUUCUUUCAAUUUCAAGGCCAACUUUCUACAAGUUACUUCAAGACUAUAAUAUGCCAACGUCAAAAUAUAAGAGCAUCAGUGAUCAACAGUUGGAUAUUGAAUUGUCACAAAUAAAAACUGAACACCCAAAUGUUGGAGAAGUGAUGCUUAUGGGACAUCUCCGCUCCAAAAACAUUGUGGUUCAAAGACAACGAGUAAGAGAUUCACUCCGAAGGAUGGACCCAAUUGGUGUCCUAGCCAGGAGAAGAACAGCAAUAGCUAGGCGAGUAUACUCUGUCCCACAUCCAAAUUUCAUAUGGCAUGUAGACGGAAAUCAUAAGUUGAUUAGGUGGAAAUUGGUUGUUCAUGGUGCCAUAGAUGGCUACAGUAGGAUGUUAAUGUUUCUUCACUGCUCCAACAAUAAUCGUGCUGAAACUGUAAGAGAUCUCUUUACUGCAGCUGUUCGACAGUUUGGCAGACCACUGCACAUCAGGACUGAUCACGGAGGAGAGAACGUUCAGAUUUGGGAGGACAUGCAUGUGAGCAGGGGGAUGGCUCUGUCUUAACAGGAAGUUCUGUACACAACCAGAGGAUCGAGCGUUUUAAUCGAGACUUGAACAAAAACUGCAGCCAUAUUUAUGCACCCAUUUUUUAUGAACUGGAAUCCCUGGGUAUCCUAGACAUAGACAAUGCAACAGACCUAUUUUGUCUCCAUUAUGUCUUUCUACCCAGAAUCAACCGCACUUUGGAGGAAUUCAAAGCUGGAUUUAACAAUCACUCUAUGUCAUCUGAAGGAAAUAGAACACCAGUUCAGCUUUUUACUCUGGACAGUGAUUUGCCUCAUCUUCACAACCCAGAACUCUCAACAGCAGGGGUAGUUUUUUGUUCCUCAGCAAACUCUCAAAGUGUACUUUCCCCAUUGAAUGACAGGGAUUUGCAAGAACUGAAUGAUGCCAUUAACCCUCUUCAAAAUGACAACAACAAUGGCAAAACAUUGUUUCAGAGAACACAACAGUUUAUUUUUGAUAAACUUGUAAAUGUGUGAUCUCAGCAUAUAACAUGUACAAUUGUGUAACAUUAGUCUUAUUUCACUUUCAAAAGUACACUGUGAAACAAAUUUCAGGGCUCUACAGAUGUAUUGAUACAUAACUGUCUUCCACUACAUUGCAAUACAUUGUUCCUGAUUUUUAAAGUACCUAAAUGUGCAAAGUAAAACAACUCAGUGAAGUAAAACAA